CCUACGGGCGGCUGCAGUGAGGAAUAUUGGUCAAUGGCCGAGAGGCUGAACCAGCCAAGUCGCGUGAGGGAAGACGGCCCUACGGGUUGUAAACCUCUUUUGUCGGGGAGCAAAGCGAGUCACGUGUGACUCAUUGAGAGUACCCGAAGAAAAAGCAUCGGCUAACUCCGUGCCAGCAGCCGCGGUAAUACGGAGGAUGCGAGCGUUAUCCGGAUUUAUUGGGUUUAAAGGGUGCGCAGGCGGAGGUGCAAGUCAGCGGUAAAAUUGCGGGGCUCAACCCCGUACUGCCGUUGAAACUGUAUCCCUUGAGUGCGCGAGAAGUAUGCGGAAUGCGUGGUGUAGCGGUGAAAUGCAUAGAGAUCACGCAGAACCCCGAUGGCGAAGGCAGCAUACCGGCGCGCAACUGACGCUCAUGCACGAAAGCGUGGGUAUCGAACAGGAGUAGAUACCCUUGUAGUC
rnacentral:rRNA from 1 species